UUGCCAAUUAUCUAUUCCAAAGCUGUAGGAGGAGCUCUAUAGAGAAACCUAAACAGCGAAGAAAUUGCCAAAACUGCAUGGUGCCCCUUUAAAAGGGUCUAUCUCGGACGAGCCCCCAUUUGUUAAA